AUAGGUGUUCCACAGAUUUAGUGUCUAAUAGCUAAUAGCUGUGAUUUUUCUAGUCAGAGGUCCAUUGUUGGGAACAGAAAAAGAACAGAGCAGAACAAUUUUGGUCAAGUUAUUUUGUUUGUCUGGAACCCAAGAAAUGCCUCUUGGCUUUAUUGGACUUAACUUAUAACUCCUAGGAUAAGAGAUUCAAACCAGAAAUAAUUUUGUCCCCUGAAGUGGGCUGAAUGGUGGCUCCACAAAAAGAUAAGUCCUAACUCCUGGAAUCUGUGAAUAUUACCUUAUUUGGAAAAAGGGUCUUUGCAGAUGUAAUUAAUAAGUUAAGGAUCUCAAGAUGCGGUCAACCUGGAUUGACCUAAAUCUGCUGACCAGUGUCUUUAUAAGAGAAAAGCAGAGGGAGAGAAGGCCACGUGAAGAUGAGGCAGAGAUUGGAGAGGUGCUGCCACAAGCCAAGAAACACCAGGAGCCACUGGAAACUGGAAGCAGCAAGUGAGACUUCUCCCCCAGAGCCUUUGGAGGGAGCGCAGCUCUGCUGACACCUUGACUUUGGAUUUCUGACCUCUGGAACCGAGAAAAGCAUGCACAUUUAAUGUAAGUUCACAUUAAAAAGCAUACACAUUUUUUAAUGUAAGUUUGGGUGAUGCCGGAGCCCUCCUAAGGAAAUGAAGACCUGGAGAAGAGGCAAAACCUGAAUGCUUUAUGUGCUGGGUCGGACGAAGCAGCAAUGUGGAAAGUGCAGCCUUCUGAACUGAAAGAGAGAAAAGGAACAUGAGAAAACUCUUUUUCCACAUGUUGUUCUGGUUUGGAG